UCCAGCGCGGCGGAGAAAGGCUGAGGAGAGGCGGGUACGGUGGCUCCCGUGGUCCAAAUCCUGUCGUCUCGCGUUACCUCGCCACGGCGCCCGCGGAGAAUGCUUCCGACUCUGGAUACCCAGGGCUGGCAGGAAAACGCGGCAAUCAGUGAAGAAUAACGUCUCACAACGAAGAGGUUAGGAGGAAGGGAGAGAGAAACAUCAAUGAUGAGAGAGAAUCAUUGAUUGGCUGCCUUCUGCACACCCCACAUUGGGGGUCGAACCCACAAUCUGGGCAUGUGCCCUGACUGGGAAUCAAACCCUGACCUCCUAGUGCAACCACUGAGCCACGCCAGCCGGAAAUGGAAAUUCUGAUUCUCAAAUGCAUAUGGCAAUCAAGGGGCCCCAAAUAGCCAAACAAUCUUGGAAAGAACAAAUUUAGAGAUUUUGUUAAAUCACUCUUGAUUUAAAAACUUACUACAGCCCUGACCGGCGUGGCUCAGUGGAUAGAACGUCGGCCUGUGGACUGAAGGGUCCCAGGUUCGAUUCCGGUCAAGGGCAG